CCUCCCGUUUCACUUUAGAUGAUGAAGACAACGCUACCAGCGGGACUGAAACGAUGGUGAUCCAGGUGAUCGUGAGCACCUAUGAGGGCCAGAAGAUAACCGUCGACCUGUGUCAAGAUGAGAAACAGCUGCAGCUGACGACUGUGCUGCAACUGAAGCAGAAAAUAGCACUAAAGCUUCCCGGGAAAGCAGAGCGGAUGACAGCAGACAUGAAGCUGAUCUUUGCUGAUAAGAGGCUGGACUCUGACAACAAACUGCUGUGUGAAUUCGGGAUCGUCCACAAGUCUCUGAUCCAGAUGGUGAUGUCUCUGGAUGGAGGAAGAGGAGCAUGAUAGCAGGGGAUCAGACAUCCAGCUGCUUCACAUUCAUCAUUCCAUCAAACGAACAGUUUUUCAACUAUGUUUAUACUUGUUUGUUUCUCUUAUGCUUUAUAAUCAUUGUAUUUUUGUCAAAUUCUCCCCAGUUGGAGUUGAUCAUUUGUUGCACAAAUAAAUGUUGAGAACUUUAAA